GCUUCUCCGCCCGCCGCUCGCCGGCCUCCCCCGCCCCGCACUCCCUCCCAGCCCGAGCCCUCCGGCUGCUCCUCCCCCUCAGCGUCCUCCCCUCCGCGCGGCGCUGACAGGCAGCCUCCGCGGGGAGAGUGCAGGUACUUUGCCGUCAGAAUAAUUUGUAGGACCCCGGCGAGCUUGCGGAGCGCCCUCAUUUUCUCCUGUCUUCGCCCCCUCCCUCCCGAAAAGAAGACCCCACUUUUGAAACAAUCAGAACCCGAAGCAUCCGACCAAAGCCAAAGCCCGACGGGCGGCUGUUCUUGUGCUGUCCUUUCUUGCAGUUUAUUCUGGGCCUGUGUGGAAUAGAAAGACAAUUCUUUAUUUGACUGGUAGGGGAGAAACGAGAAGACUCCUCAGGGUUUCCAAGGAGGACUGGAGCGGCUGCUUUAGUGAAGAAAUGGAGAUUCAAAGAAGUAAAGGACCUGUCUCAAAGUCACAGUACUAGGAAAUCUUGAGGAGUUUGACACUUUUCAUUCUCCAGCCAUUAAUCAUCUUGUAGGGGAAGGCUAUAUGUUGGUGGGAAUAAAAAGCGAGCAGUUCCUGGCCCAUGAUAACUCUAGUUAAGGGUGUCUGACUGAUGGCAUGUUGGCACCAGCACUGAAGGAAGUGAUGGGCUUCAGGUCCAGGUUCCUGUCCUGAGACCACAGCAGGAUGUGCCUUGGACAAAGGUAUGCACA